GAAUCAAACCUACAACCCUGGCAUUGCAAGUACCAUGCUCUACCAACUGAGCCACACGGGACCAUACGAAGUUGUGACAAUCUGGAUACCACCCAAGCCUACUUACUGUCUAGGAGUUACACCCAGUGGGCUAAAUUGUCAUGAUAAUCAGUGGCUUCAUGUUUGUAUCCAUACAUUUUUGAUGAGAUGAUCAUAGCGAAAAAUAAAAUACUUCUGCAUUUCCCGCUGUGUAAACACAUUGAUUCUCAUUACAUAUAGGCUCUGGACAACUUCUGAUAAAGUUUGGUAGUUGAUAUUCAGAGCUUAAGGAGCCAAAAUGAUUAGUCACAGGAAUCAGGAUUAAUAAAGCCAAUGCAAAUGCCUGUUUUACAAAAGGUAGGCCUACCACAUGGAUGGGCAUUCUAAAAAUGUAAGGGGGGCCUAAACUGUAGGCUACACCUCAGUAAGCAUGGGUCAAUGUCUUUUGAACGUCUUCUUUGGGUGCUGUUCGAACCCGCAUCUUUAAAAAAAAAAAUGUAGGACCAGCCUUUCAACACCCAUGGACCAAAACAAAUCUGAACCAAACAUAGACAUUUAUAUUUGGUCCGGUCCAGGCUUGAUUUCAACCUCCACGGACAUAUGGUCCUGACCAGCCUAUAUUUGGCUCAAACAUAGACAUCUAUAAUUGGUUCAGAUUAGAUCCGGUCCGGACCCAAACAUUUUACCAGACCAAAUCUGUACCAAUCAUAGACAUCUAUGUUUCACAAGUUUGGUCAGUAAAGAAAAUUAGAGUACAGUAUAAUACAGCAGAGCACAGUAUAGGAACGUAUAGUUCAGUACAGUAGCACAGUACAGUAUACUGUAUUGUACCCUACUUUACUCUAAUGUACUCCACCGAUGUACUUCACUUUUCAUUCCUAACCUAAAAUAAACCUAACUUCAACGUCUGGAAAAUAUAUAUGUUAGAUGGCUUUUUAACGUAAUUUUGUUUACUGGGACCAUUCUAGUUUGGCGGGGGUAUAGGAGGUCGACAAUUUGUUUUGCCUGGCCUAUAGCGGCAGAACAGCCAGCACCUGGCCCGGGAGAGAACGGCCAACACCUGGCCUGGGAGAGAACGGCCAACACCUGGCCUGGGAGAGAUGACUGGUGAUCAGAGGUUAGUGGUUGUCGUCAUGUGAUGAGGGGAGUCACGCGCUUUGGAUCCAGGAGGACCGCACAGAUGACGCACAGUUUUGGUAUACUCUCUUCGGUUGAUUGACUAUGGCGUCAGAGGAGACAGGUGUGCCUUUGGACUGCUGAGAACCUGGAGGACAGGAGAGCACAGGAGCAUAGAGCUACAGAGGGGCCAAAGACAGAGGUCCCAGCCAGUCCCAGCCAAGAUGGACCUCAGGUGACGGCAGGAUCAACCAAGAAGCUCUGCAUGUGUACAGCCGAUGAUGUCAUCUCUCGGAUACUGUGGGACCCGUCGGUGGAGCCGGCGGACUUUGUGGUGGGGUACGUGGACCGCUUGGGGUGCUGGAGUGGCCCUUCUCUGAGUUCAACUGGGACAUCGACCCCUGCGAUUGUGACUACUCCUCUGAGCUACUCCUGCCCAGACACAGGAUUCACUACUUCACCCAUAGAGGGCGUAGAGUCUGGGACCGCAACAACAGGACUGACGGGGUGUUUGGAUCCACUGGACAGUGUCUGGUGGCCCCCUUUGGGCAGGAGGAGGAGCAAGAGCAGGGGACAGGGACACAAGAUGUUGAACAACAAGACCCCAAAAACGACCACCGUGAAUCAAGAGAAGAACAAGAUGGAGUCAUCACUACAGAGGAGGGUGAAGAGUCCCUGAUAAAACAGGAUGUUGAAAACGGACACUUGGAGGAAAGAAAUCAGAGCAAGACAAUUAUUCAGAUGCCUGAGUCGACCAGACCAGGCACAGGAAGUACUCCACUGAACCAACAGGAAGCAGGAAAAUAAUCAGAACCCUUGGAAGAGGACGUUGGGAAGGAUUCCGUUUUAGUCGUCAUAGUAUCCCAGAGAGAAAGCGAGAGCAGGGGGGAGGAAGGUGAGAAGGAGGAAGAAUGGAAAGAUUACUGGGAUGGAGAGAAAGGCCCAGACCUAGCCCAGUGUCCGUCUGUGCCUGUGGAGCAGAGAACAGAGAGGGGUGGAGGCCGGCCUUCCAAACGUAAGCCCACCCACUUCAUCACCUUCCGGGCCAACACUCCCUCCUUCCAGCACCUUCAGGAGGAGCUCACUUUCCUCCUCCCCUCAUCCACCCCUCAUUGAUUGCCCCCCUCCUCCCUCCACGUCACCCUCUGUCUCCUGGUCCUCCCCGGCCCAGCCGAGGUCACUGGCGCUGGGGAGAUGCUCCAACGCUUUGCCUACCUGGACCGCAACCCCCCUGUGGCCGUCUCCUUCCCCCUGAAACUGAAGCACUUUGGUGGGAAGAUUCUCUACCUGAGCCCUCAGCCUCAGCCCCACCUCCAGCAGCUAAAUGCUGGCCUACAGGAGGCCUUCAGAGAGCAGGGCUGGCUGCACAGGGACUCCUUCAACCCACGCUACCAUCUCACCCUGGCCAAGGUGAAGGACCGGGAGGGGGCGAGGGUGUUUGAGGGGGUGGGGGAGCUGAAGGUGGAUAAGGGGGUGAAUUAUGGGUGACUGCCUAUAAAUAGGCUACACCUGUGUAGCAUGGGGAUGACUGGGGAUGGGUUUUAUGAGACACUGUGUUUGGUCUGUGUUUGUGUUUGGUUAGGUAUGGAGGUGCUAUUUUACAAAGCACAGAACCCACAUUUCCACACCUCACAGUCUCCAUAGUUUUAUAUUGAAAGGUGCGAUAUGCAGAAAUCGCUCCGCCAUUUCCUGGUUGCUGAAAUUCAAAUAGAAUGCCUAAUUUCAGUUUGUGACCAAACAAGCAAUCAUUGCUGGUUUUGUGUAGAGAAUCAUUGUACCAUCUAAACCGCUGUAAAAUAUAUUUUCAAUAACCAAAAUAUUGUAUUUUCAGCUUUUUGAAGCUGGUGUACAAAACCGGAAGUAAAACACACAACAAUGAAACUUAAGAACGGGAAGCAUAGAAAUAGCACUGUUCUUAAGUUUCAUUGUUGUGUCUUUUACUUCCAUCAGGGUAACUGCAUCUCAACCAAUCAAUUCUUACUUUGCGUCUACAGACAUGAUUUUAUAAUUGCAAUAAGAUGAAUUUAAUAUGAAUAUUUUAAUAUAAUCCAACAGAAACCCACUGAUCGCUGCUACGUUGAUCAUGUAAAAUGUCUGCUUUUACAAAGAAUUAUGACAUUUGGAUUGCCAAGGACAUUAAAUAUUGAACUUGUAAUUUU